rnacentral:lncRNA from 1 species
GACUCGUGGUUAGGAUAACCAGCCUCCUUAAGACGCGCAGACUGCUGCUGGAAACUGGUUUUUAUUAGGACGUUGUUGAAA